GGGUCACAGACUCCAUCCCACAAGCGAAGCCCCAUCCUGGAAUGGAGACCCUGUCGCGCACUAGCAAUGCCUACUAGGAAGCUGAAAACCGCACAAUCGUAAAAUCUUUUGCUUUUGUGUUUUUCAGGAGCAUUUUGUGUCUUAUUCAAGGGUCAUGAGGGCUGGUGGGACAGGACCCCCACCCCCCAAAUUCAACCAGCUUCUGCCAGUGGACCUGAUAGAUAAUUCCUUUUCAGCAGACAAAAUUCUGAGCCUAAAUUGAUUCAUUCUGAGAGGAAGCCACCGCUUUUCAACCUACUCAAUCCACCUUCUCAAACUAGAAUGUGAGAUUAGGUAGAAGCUGAGAGGCCAUCCUAUGGAAACUGCAGAUUCUAUGUGCUCUAGUUUGGAUAUGAUUAGAGAGUGUCUUCCAAGGAUUGUUGGAAAUUUGGUCCCCGGUGUGGUGAUGUUGGGAAGUGGUGGAACCUUUAAAAGGUGGAGCCCAGUGGGAGGUGAUUAGGUUAUUGGAGGUAGUAAUGCUAGUCUAGAAGAGUAUGUUAGUUCCCUUCAGAGUGGACUGUUAUGAAAGAGUGAGCCUAUCCAGGUAUGUUGAGACAUUCU
rnacentral:lncRNA from 1 species